AUAUCUCUCUGUACGGGAAGGAUGAGAAGCUUCGACUAAGGUUCGAUUCGAGCGUCAGCGAGAAAGCGUUGCCGCAGGCAACGACCCGAAGGGCGAAGCGC
rnacentral:sRNA from 3 species